rnacentral:lncRNA from 10 species
UUAAGUUACAGUUCUCUAAGAGAAUUACAAUGUUUGUCCCAUUUCUAAGGGCUUCUCUUCAACUCUAAUAACAGCAUUAUUCACGUUAUGAUUUGAUAGUAUUAUUAUUUAAUUUUUUUAUGAUUAUUUUCCAUUUUGUGCUCUGAGUUUUGCUGUUGAAAGUCUCCCUCAAGAAUAGCUUCAGAUCCUCUUGUGUAUUUGCAGAAUACACAAGGUCAUUUCCCAGUGGCCUGGGAGAGGCAGUGAGCCUUCUCUCCACCACCAUAGACAGGUGUUAAUGCAUCUAUGGGCCAGGUGCAGUGGCUCACUCCUGUAAUCCGAGCAAUUUGGGAGGCCAAGGUGGGAGUUUUGCUUGAGGCUGGUCUCAAACUCCUGACUUCAGGUGAUCUGUCUGCCUCGGCCUCCCAAAGAGCUGAGAUUACAGGCGUGAGCCACCAUGCCUGGCCAAAACACCUGAUUUUUAAAUGGUAGCAAUUGUGCUAAAUAAAAUGUGUAAAAAUUUUAAAGAGUUGUUAACAUUUUUUGAUGAAUUCUGCUGAAAAUUAUCUGAACAUACCUGUUUUUCGAAACUUCAAGAAACUUCAAUAAGGGAUGCAUUGAGCAGUCUGACAGUGAGAAUAAAGAAUGCUGAGUCAAGAUUUAUAUUAAGGCUGGAAGCUGUGGCUCACACCUGUAAUCCCAGCAUUUUGGGAGGCUGAAGUGAGAGGUUAAUUUGAGGGUAGGGGUAUGAGACCAUCUUGGCCAAUAUAGCAAGACCCUGUGUCUAAAACAAACAAAAAAAUUUUUAAUUGGAUUUUGAUAUGGUUUGGAUCUGUGUCCCCACCAAAUCUCACGUUGAAGUGUAAUCCCCAAUGUUAGAGGUGGGGCCGGCUGGGAGGCGACUGGAUCAUGGGUGUGAAGCCUUCAUGAAUGGUUUGGCACCGUCCCCUCAGUGCUGGUCUCAUGACAGUGAGUUAUCGUGAGAUCUGGUAGUUUAAAAGUGUGUAGCACCUCCCCACUCUCUCUUUCUCCUGCUUUGGCCACGUGAAGAUGCCUGCUCCCACUUUGCCUUCUGCCAUGAGUAAAAAUUCCCCGAGGACUCCCUAGAAGCAGAUGUUGCCACGCUUCCUAU